GAAUAGUCGAAAUCCUUUGUUAAUAAAAUACCUGUUUUGACUUUAGAUUUAGAGGGACCUGCAGGAGCUGACAGACUGGUCUGGUCGCCUAUGUCCUGCAUCCUUCGAAGAGAACUCACUCACCUCUUGACUCGAGCAGUACAAACGGGACACGAUGGGACACGAUGACGGCUUCUCUACACAUUUAUCAAUAAAUGGCGGCAUAAAAAGAUGAA